UGAACCUGCGGAAGGAUCAUUGAUGGGAUCUGAGAACAAAUGACUAGAGAACUUGUUGUAUUCAUAUGGGCAUCGUGCUGACAAAAUAUGCAACUCAUGAGAGCAUUCUCUUGAUUUGCCCGUUUGUUGGCUCGAUGGGAAUGGCUACCACCGCUUCUUGAUGGUUGUGGGGGUUGGCAAAUGAUCGUGGGCACGGCAUGUGUCAAGGAUAUAAAUUUUGCUCGAACCGAAGCAUAUGCUUGUUGUCUGGCAUGGUAGUGAAAUAUAAUCAUAUCAAAGAUAUGACUCUCGACAACGGAUAUCUAGGCUCUUGCAUCGAUGAAGAACGUAGCGAAAUGCGAUACUUGGUGUGAAUUGCAGAAUCCCGUGAACCAUCGAGUCUUUGAACGCAAGUUGCGCCCGAGACCUCUUGGUUGCGGGCACGCCUGCUUGGGUGUCACACUCAUGUUUGCUCCAUCCAACCAAUCCAUGUGGCGGGUUAAGAUGGAAGCGAAGAUUGGUUCACCGUGCUUUUAUAGUCGUGGUGAGCUGAAGUAUGAGACGCCGAUGGAGUAUAUGAGUGCACGACAUGUGGUGGGCAGAAGAAUGUUUCUUGUGUGGCCAUUGUCGUUCUCUCCGCGGCAUUGCUCGCAGCAAGCGUGCUGAAGGGGACAUAUAAUGCGUCCCUUGUUGCGACCCCAGGUCAGACGGGAC
rnacentral:rRNA from 1 species